GUUAUUGUAGAGGAUCUAAUAUGUGUGCUUAUGGUAUGUAGUGUUUAGGGUUACCAGUUUGUGCAGGUGAUGCAGUGUGUUUGUGUGUAGUGGAAGCAGUGUGUAUUUGUGUAUAAGGGAUGUAUUAUGUGAUUCUGGUUGUGUGUAAGGGAUGCAUUGUGCGAAUCUGUGUUUGUAUGCAUAAGGGAUGCAAGGUGUGUGUCUGUAUGUGUGUGCAUGAGAUGCAUUGUGUUUCUGUGUGUAUGUAAGAAAAGAAGUGUGUGUGUUUGCAUGCGUGUGUACGGGUUUGCAUUGUCUGUUUCUGUGUGUGUG